rnacentral:rRNA from 1 species
AUUGAACGCUAGCGGGAUGCUUUAUACAUGCAAGUCGAACGGCAGCGCGGACUUCGGUCUGGCGGCGAGUGGCGAACGGGUGAGUAAUGUAUCGGAACGUGCCCAGUAUCGGGGUAUAACUACGCGAAAGCGUAGCUAAUACCGCAUACGCCCCACGGGGGAAAGCAGGGGAUCGUAAGACCUUGCACUAUUGGAGCGGCCGAUAUCGGAUUAGCUAGUUGGUGAGGUAACGACUCAACAAGGCGACGAUCCGUAGCUGGUUUGAGAGGACGACCAGCCACACUGGGAAUGAGGCAGGGCCCAGACUCCUAAGGAAGGCAGCAGUGGGGAAUUUUGGAAAAGGGGGGCAACCCUGAUCCAGCCAUCCCGCGUGUGCGAUGAAGGCCUUCGGGUUGUAAAGCAGUUUUGGCAGGAAAGAAACGUCGCGGGCUAAUACCCCGUGGAACUGACGGUACCUGCAGAAUAAGCACCGGCUAACUACGUG